rnacentral:rRNA from 1 species
GCAGGCGCGAAAACUUUACAAUGCGGGAAACCGUGAUAAGGGAACACCGAGUGCCAGCAUCAUAUGCUGGCUGUCCAGAUGUGUAAACUACAUCUGUUAGCAAGGGCCGGGCAAGACCGGUGCCAGCCGCCGCGGUAACACCGGCGGCCCGAGUGGUGACCGUUAUUAUUGGGUCUAAAGGGUCCGUAGCCGGUUUGGUCAGUCCUCCGGGAAAUCUGAUAGCUUAACUGUUAGGCUUUCGGGGGAUACUGCCAGGCUUGGAACCGGGAGAGGUAAGAGGUACUACAGGGGUAGGAGUGAAAUCUUGUAAUCCCUGUGAGACCACCUGUGGCGAAGGCGUCUUACCAGAACGGGUUCGACGGUGAGGGACGAAAGCUGGGGGCACGAACCGGAUUAGAUACCCGGGUAGUCCCAGCCGUAAACUAUGCUCGCUAGGUGUCAGGCAUGGCGCGACCGUGUCUGGUGCCGCAGGGAAGCCGUGAAGCGAGCCACCUGGGAAGUACGGCCGCAAGGCUGAAACUUAAAGGAAUUGGCGGGGGAGCACAACAACGGGUGGAGCCUGCGGUUUAAUUGGACUCAACGCCGGACAACUCACCGGGAACGAC